UACGGGGGGGGCAAGCGUUGUUCGGAAUUACUGGGCGUAAAGGGCUCGUAGGCGGCCAACUAAGUCGGAUGUGAAAUCCCCAGGCUUAACCUGGGAACUGCAUCCGAUACUGGAUGGCUUGAAUUCGGGAGAGGGAUGCAGAAUUCCAGGUGUAGCGGUGAAAUGCGUAGAUAUCUGGAGGAACACCGGUGGCGAAGGCGGCGUUCUGGACUGCUACUGACACUGAGGAACGAAAGCCAGGGGAGCAAACGGG
rnacentral:rRNA from 1 species